UACGUAGGGGGGCUAGCGUUGUCCGGAAUCAUUGGGCGUAAAGAGCGUGUAGGCGGUCCGGUAAGUCCGCUGUGAAAGUCGAGGGCUCAACCCUCGAAUGCCGGUGGAUACUGUCGGGCUUGAGUACGGGAGAGGCGAGUGGAAUUCCUGGUGUAGCGGUGAAAUGCGCAGAUAUCAGGAGGAACACCGAUUGCGAAGGCAGCUCGCUGGAACGUUACUGACGCUGAGACGCGAAAGCGUGGGGAGCAAACAGG
rnacentral:rRNA from 1 species